rnacentral:lncRNA from 1 species
AUAACCGCCAUUUCGAUUACGUGUUACCAGUUCACAUCGAUGUGGACCAAAUAAACAAUAUAAACAAAACAUGUAAAUAUAUAAGUGGUAAUAUAAACCCAGAUAUAUAUAACAAGAACACAAACAAUAAGUUAGUCAAAGUUGUUGGAGGUAAAUAUAAUUAUGAAAUGUCAAAAGAAAAUAGUACUACCAAAAUAUUAUGGGGUAACUCAACAAGCAGUAUAGUAGUAACGACAUUCAUAGGCUUAACGCAAAACCAAAUAACAAUGAAUAAAAAUACAGAAUAUGCACAAAUAAAUAUAAGAAUAAGAAAUAUACAAGGACAUCGUAAUGAAAGAGAAAAAAUGUUGGAAGAAGUAGUUGCUAAAACGUUUGAGCAGAUAAUCGAUAGGGGUUCAUAUAAAUUCCAACAGCUUAUUUUUCGAGUACAAAUAAUAAACGAAUAUACCUAUAUUCUAUCAAGCAUAAUAAACUCUAUUAUGUUAAAUUUGAUUUAUAAUAACAUAACGCUUAAUUAUGUAAUAUAUUCUAUAAACAUAGGCAUAGUAGAUAAAAACAGUUUUAAUAACUAUGUACAAAAAAAAUAUGCCACGUCCACUCAUGUUUCAGAGAAGGCGGCUAGCAGUUGCCAUGAUUUUAAACAAAGUGCAAUAGAACAAGCAAUAAAUAAAAAAGAAAAUGAUGACACUAGUAGCUUGGGAAGCAAAAACCAAACAAAACCAACUGAAAAGGAUGUACAACAUCCAAGUGAAUCACUCUAUGAGCAACAUAAAAAUACAUUCUUUUAUCAAUAUGAUAAUUUAUAUAUUCCUAAAAUUAUUUUAGACCCUCUAGACAUAGAAAUCGAGUUGUAUUGUAGUAGUGCCUUUUGUUAUAUUGUUGCACCCAGCUUUACUAAAAUAUUAUCAAACAUUUUGAUAAAAACUCAUACGGGUAUUUCGAAAGAAAUUAACGACCUGUGUAAAUCUUAUGCUUGUGAGAGUACGAAAGUGCUACAUGAGAAUGUUAAAAAAGGAUAUGCUAAUCAUUUAAAGCAAGUG